rnacentral:rRNA from 1 species
GAUGAACGCUGGCGGCGUGCUUACACAUGCAAGUCGAACGAAGCACUUAUCUUUGAUUCUUCGGAUGAAGAGGUUUGUGACUGAGUGGCGGACGGGUGAGUAACGCGUGGGUAACCUGCCUCAUACAGGGGGAUAACAGUUAGAAAUGACUGCUAAUACCGCAUAAGACCACAGAGCCGCAUGGCUCAGUGGGAAAAACUCCGGUGGUAUGAGAUGGACCCGCGUCUGAUUAGGUAGUUGGUGGGGUAACGGCCUACCAAGCCAACGAUCAGUAGCCGACCUGAGAGGGUGACCGGCCACAUUGGGACUGAGACACGGCCCAAACUCCUACGGGAGGCAGCAGUGGGGAAUAUUGCACAAUGGGGGAAACCCUGAUGCAGCGACGCCGCGUGAGCGAAGAAGUAUUUCGGUAUGUAAAGCUCUAUCAGCAGGGGAGAAAAUGACGGUACCUGACUAAGAAGCACCGGCUAAAUACGUGCCAGCAGCCGCGGUAAUACGUAUGGUGCAAGCGUUAUCCGGAUUUACUGGGUGUAAAGGGAGCGUAGACGGCUGUGUAAGUCUGAAGUUAAAGCCCGGGGCUCAACCCCGGGACUGCUUUGGAAACUAUGCAGCUAGAGUGUCGGAGAGGUAAGUGGAAUUCCCAGUGUAGCGGUGAAAUGCGUAGAUAUUGGGAGGAACACCAGUGGCGAAGGCGGCUUACUGGACGAUGACUGACGUUGAGGCUCGAAAGC